rnacentral:rRNA from 1 species
AUUGAACGCUGGCGGCAGGCCUAACACAUGCAAGUCGAACGAGUGGCGGACGGGUGAGUAAUGUCUGGGCAACUGCCCGAUGGAGGGGGAUAACUACUGGAAACGGUAGCUAAUACCGCCUACCAUCGGAUGUGCCUAGAUGGGGUUAGCUAGUAGGUGGGGUAACGGCUCACCUAGGCGACGAUCCCUAGAUGGUCUGAGAGGAUGACCAGCAACACGGGAAAUGAGACACGGUCCAGAAUCCUAAGGGAGGCAGCAGUGGGGAAUAUUGGACAAUGGGCGCAAGCCUGAUGCAGCCAUGCCGCGUGUAUGAAGAAGGCCUUCGGGGUGUAAAGUACUUUCAGCGAGGAGGCGUUACUCGCAGAAGAAGCACCGGCUAACUCCGUGCCAGCAGCCGCGGUAAUAC